UUGGUCUUAGGUCAAUGGUUACCGUAACAGAAUCAAAAUCUGUUUCUCUCUGACUGUGCAGGUUCAAAACCUGCCGAUUGAC